GGAGGCGCACUCAAAGAUGUAGACGAUGAGCAUGAGCACCAGCCUCACCGUGAGGAUCAUGGACCGGCGGCGGCAGAGUGCUGCACCCACACCAAAGCUGGCCACCACGAAGAAGGAGAAGCCGCAGAAGAUGGCGAUCCAGGCGCCAGCGAAGACGUCAUCCUUUCCCGAGACGCCCAUCAGUGGAUACACGCGGUACUGGUCGGCUGUCACCCAUACCGUCUCAGCAAACAGGGCCAGGCCUGACAGCUGGACAGGGCAGCCAGUUAGCAAGGCCUGUUCAGGGGCAGCAGCCCAGCUACACGAGUCUCCAUGAGCAAGUGCUUUCCCCAUUCCGAGCCUCCACUGCCCUCUCGGUAAAGUGGGCAUGUAACAAGAGUGGUAAAGACAUCCCCUUCCAUGAGCAGCGAUGAGGCUGGGCAGAGGCCAGGAGGGAAGGGAGGGCCCAGCCAAACCCCUGCCGCCCCCCACACCCCAGCUGCCAGUUGCUUCAAGAAUAUAAGGAGAUGCCACAUCCGCAAAGCCUGGAGCGCGUAACUGGCACUGAAGAGAUGCUGGGUCACCCUGCCCUUCCUCAAUAGUGCUGUUAUUCCAGAGCAGGGCAGUCUGGCCAGGCCAAACAAUUACAAACGCAUCAACCCUUUGCACAGCAACUCUACUUGCAGGAAUCAAUCCUACAGGUACACUCGCCCCUGCAGGAAAAUCACAAACCCACAAGGUUAUUCCUGCAGACCAUGGGUGAAAGAUCCAGGAAGCUGCACAAUGCAGCUGUGAAAAAGCACAGGGAGGCUCUCUGAGGGCUCAUGUGGAGUGGCCUACAGACUCUGUGAGCAAGAGAAAAGGGAGGCACAGAACAGGAUGUGGAAUGCGCUAAAUUUUGGGGCAAGAAAGGGGAGAAAGUAGGUAUAUAUGUUCCUAUUUGCUUUUAUUUGCUUAAAGAAAUGGAGAAACAAAAAUCUGGUUAUCUAUAGGGGUGGGGAUGGGGAACAGGAGAGAAGAAGACUUCUCAGUGGAUACCUCUGACAAUACCCACAGGGUACUUACCGCAUGACAGGCAUUGGUCCCCGUAACUGCUUCUUUGUGACAAUCACUGUUACCAGCUGUGGUGUCUGUUGUUGUUAUGGCCAAUACAACCCCAAACUCCGGUCUAAGCACAGUAAUCCAAUAACUCAUCUUAUCCUCUCAGUGGUCCUAUUUUAUCUCCAUUUUACAGAUGAGAAAACUGAGGACCAGAGAGGUUACAUCACUGGCUCCAGUUCCCACAGUAGAAAGUGGCAGAGCUGGGAUUUGAACCCAGGCUGCCUGGCUCCAGAGCCAUGUAUAGGUAUCACAUAUUCUCUAAAAACAUUAAAUAUUUACUAAAGGACAUUGUUAUGAUUCAUUACCAUGGGCCUCCUGUGUGCCAAGCAGGCACUUCAUGUGCAUAAUCAUGUUACUGAUGAUGGCUAGCAUUUGUCAAGCACUUUUUCUGAGCUGAGGGCCAUACAUGGAUUAAUCUACAGAACAGUCCCCACGAUGAAGACAUAAGCUAUAGAUGGGAAACAGGCACAGAGAAGUCAAGUUGCUUGCUCAAGGUCACACAGCUGGGGAGAGGCAGAGCUGGGAUUCGAAUCCAGGCUACUCUGACUUGAGAGCCCGCAGCACUGGCCAUCCGGGGAGCCCUGGGCCCCCAGCCCCCAGCCCCAGGCUCAGGACUGCCCCCUCCUCCCCACCCGCACACUCGGCUCCCAGCACUGGGGGAUGUCUCACCAGAAUGAUGAUGUUGCCCACGACCAGCAGCCCCACCACAACCGGAGAGCCCUUCUCUGCUGCCGCUGCUGCAGAAGCCAUAGUCCUGCCUGAGUGAGGACGCAGGCCUUCCUGAGAGCAGAGAGAGAUCCAAGUCCGCCUCGAGUGUGAAUCCUGAAUCCCAGAACUGCCUCCUCUGCUGGUGGCUCCCCAUCUCUGAGGCUAGGAGCCAAGGGGGUUGGGGGGGGCGGAGGCCUGGGCAGCGACCCGGGCAGUUGAGGACAGAGCUGGACCAAGGCAGGGAGACCGGGAGAAGAUGAGGGGGCAGGUGGGGGGGAUGCUCAGAAGGCUGAUGUACUGGCUCUGAUCUGAGGGGAGAUGAUGGCAGGAGAUGGAUGUGUGAGGGGAGUUGGAAAUGCGUGUACAAUGAGCAGGGAGAGAAGUGUGCCAGAAAAAGGGAGGGGGCACAUCGAAUGGGCUUGGCGGGAGAAAAGUACCCUUCUCUGCGCCGCCACCCCUACCCGCCCCACACAGACAAAGCAGGGUCACAGUGAGGAGCCAUGGGUUGAAAUGUCUUCAGGCUGCAGAACCAAAGAGACCCAGGUUCAGAUCCCAGUUCCGCCUCCUCUGUGCUGCGCGAACUGGCGUGUGCAUUUGCCUAUCUGCAGAACGGGUAUCUUCAGACCGCUUUCCCGGGCGGCGGUGGGAACUGAGUGCGGGGAUGUCUGCGAAGCACGUCUUCCGGGCCUGGUGUGCAGCAGGUGGCCGCGCCGCACCAGCUGCGCUCUGGAGAGGCCCACGUCCUCUCCGACGGCGCCCCCUAGUGGCACAAGGCUGAUUCCGCAGGCGAAAAUGGUGGCCUGAAACCCCCGGUACAUCUCGAGAACUUCUCCACCUCGAGGACCAGGACAUUGACUGCGUUUUCUCUCUGAGCCUCGGCUCCGCCAGUGUACGCGAAAUGGGCAAACGGAAGGUAAAAUUCCAAUUUCAAGACACUGGCUUGGUAAUAAGACCCAUGAGAUGUUUUCCAAUUAAAAUGGUUAAUUUGGUUUUUAGUCAAUCCACUUUACAUUUAAAAUAGUUUUUCUCCGUUGAUUUAUAUUUAUAUUAAGGACUAACGAGAAAAUUUCAAUAAUAAUGUACACAACCUGUCAAAUACAUUUUAUAAGUUUUAGCUAAAAUAACUUGCAAAAUAAUAGGGCCAUGCUCAUAAUAUGAAUUUUUAUUUUGAAAUAGUUGAUAACUGUCAGUAGUUCAAAGUUACAUAAAAUGUCAGUAAAAGCAAAACGUUGUCAUCAAUGGGGGCAUUAAUAUGUCAUCAGUCAUAAAAGGGAUCCAUUUUGUUCUGAAACAUGAAGCCAGUGUACUUGGAUGUUGGAUUUGAAUUUUCAUUAUUCUUUUUUACUAUUAUGUAAGCCAGUCUUCGAUACAAUAAAGUUUGAAGUGCUCAUUUCUUCCUUUAAAAAAUCACAAUGCCAAGAUCUAAAGAUGACAUACGCCUACCCUAUG